CGUGCUUAACACAUGCAAGUCGAACGGUGAAGCAGAGCUUGCUCUGUGGAUCAGUGGCGAACGGGUGAGUAACACGUGAGCAACCUGCCCCUGACUCUGGGAUAAGCGCUGGAAACGGCGUCUAAUACUGGAUAUGAGCUGCGACCGCAUGGUCAGCAGUUGGAAAGAUUUUUCGGUCUGGGAUGGGCUCACGGCCUAUCAGCUUGUUGGUGAGGUAAUGGCUCACCAAGGCGUCGACGGGUAGCCGGCCUGAGAGGGUGACCGGCCACACUGGGACUGAGACACGGCCCAGACUCCUACGGGAGGCAGCAGUGGGGAAUAUUGCACAAUGGGCGAAAGCCUGAUGCAGCAACGCCGCGUGAGGGAUGACGGCCUUCGGGUUGUAAACCUCUUUUAGCAGGGAAGAAGCGAAAGUGACGGUACCUGCAGAAAAAGCGCCGGCUAACUACGUGCCAGCAGCCGCGGUAAUACGUAGGGCGCAAGCGUUAUCCGGAAUUAUUGGGCGUAAAGAGCUCGUAGGCGGUUUGUCGCGUCUGCUGUGAAAUCCCGAGGCUCAACCUCGGGUCUGCAGUGGGUACGGGCAGACUAGAGUGCGGUAGGGGAGAUUGGAAUUCCUGGUGUAGCGGUGGAAUGCGCAGAUAUCAGGAGGAACACCGAUGGCGAAGGCAGAUCUCUGGGCCGUUACUGACGCUGAGGAGCGAAAGGGUGGGGAGCAAACAGGCUUAGAUACCCUGGUAGUCCACCCCGUAAACGUUGGGAACUAGUUGUG
rnacentral:rRNA from 1 species